rnacentral:rRNA from 1 species
AUUGAACGCUGGCGGCAGGCCUAACACAUGCAAGUCGAACGAGUGGCGGACGGGUGAGUAAUGUCUGGGAAACUGCCUGAUGGCGGGGGAUAACUACUGGAAACGGUAGCUAAUACCGCAUACCAUCGGAUGUGCCCAGAUGGGAUUAGCUUGUAGGUGGGGUAACGGCUCACCUAGGCGACGAUCCCUAGCUGGUCUGCGAGGAUGACCAGCACGACUGGAACUGAGAAACGGUCCAGGCUCCUACGGGAGGCAGAAGUGGGGAAUAUUGCACAAUGGGCGCAAGCCUGAUGCAGCCAUGCGGCGUGUAUGAAGAAGGCGUUCGGGUUGUAAAGUACUUUCAGCGUGGAGGCGUUACCCGCAGAAGAAGCACCGGCUAACUCCGUGCCAGCAGCCGCGGUAAUAC